rnacentral:tRNA from 1 species
UCGGCGCGCUGGCGCGUCCGGCGCCGGCACUCGGCGUUUUCGUCGCCGCGCUCGCCCUGCUGGCGGCGGGCGCGAUCGAGUCGCGCGGCCUGAA